rnacentral:rRNA from 1 species
AGGACGAACGCUGGCGGCGUGCCUAACACAUGCAAGUCGAACGAGGUCCAUGCAGUGGCAACACUGCGGAAGACCUAGUGGCGAACGGGUGAGUAACACGUGAGGAACUUGCCCCGGAGACCGGGAUAACCCUCCGAAAGGAGAGCUAAUACCGGAUGUCCUCACCGAGCCGCAUGGCUUGGUGAAGAAAUGGAUUCCGCUCCGGGAGAGCCUCGCGGCCUAUCAGCUAGUUGGUGGGUAACGGCCACCAAGGCAUCGACGGGUAGCUGGUCUGAGAGGACGAUCAGCCACACUGGGACUGAGACACGGCCCAGACUCCUACGGGAGGCAGCAGUGGGGAAUCUUGCGCAAUGGGCGAAAGCCUGACGCAGCAACGCCGCGUGCGGGAUGAAGGCCUUCGGUGUAAACCGCUUUCAGUGGGACGAACCAAGACGGUACCACAGAAGAAGCCCCGGCAACUACGUGCCAGCAGCCGCGGU